rnacentral:tRNA from 1 species
GCACAUGUGGGUGAGUCUGGUCUUAAACCGCCGCACUCAAGAUGCGGUCCCUCGCGGGUCACCGGUUCAAAUCCGGUCGUGUGCA